ensembl:lncRNA
GCCUGCCCCGCCGCUGCCCCCCGCCCGGCCCCCUGCCCGUGCCCUGCUCCGUGCCCGUGCCCCAGAGCCGUGCCCUAUUCCCCGUGCCCUGCCCCAUUGCCUGUGCCCCAUUCCCUGUGCCCAUUCCCAUGCCCCCUGCCCCAUUCCCUGUGCCCCAUUCCCUGUGCCCAUUCCCAUGUCCCAUGCCCCAUCCCCCCCUGCCCCAUUCCCUGUGCCUGUGCCAUGUCCCAUGCCCGAUUCCCCCUGCCCCAUUCCCUGUGCCCAUGCCAUGUCCCAUGUCCCAUUCCCCGUGCCCAUGCCCAUGUCCCCUCUCCCAUGCCCAGCUCCGUGCCCCGUGCUCAUGCCCUGCCCCAUAAGUGCACCCCCUUUCCCAUGCCCCUGCCUGUGCCCCAUGCCUGUGCCGUGUCCCGUGCCCCAUAACCGUGCCCCGUUCCCAUUCCCAUGCCCUGCUCCAUGCCCCAUGCCCAUGCCCCAUGCCUGUGCCAUGUCCCGUGCCCCAUAACCGUGCCCCGUUCCCUGUGCCCAUGCCCCAUUCCCCAUUCCCGUGCCCACACCCUGCUCCAUGCCCAUGCCUGUGCCGUGUCCCAUAUCCCAUUCCUGUGCCAUGUCCUGUGCCCCAUAACUGUGCCCCAUUCCCCAUGCCCGUGCCAUGUUCCAUGUCCCAUUCCCUGUGCCCCAUGUCCUGUGCCCAUGCCAUGUCCCAUGCCCCAUUCCCCCAUGCCCCAUUCCCCCUGCCCCAUUCCCCCUUCCCAUGCCCUGUGCCCACACCCCAUUCCCUGUGCCCCAUGCCCUGUGCCCGUGCCAUGUCCCAUUCCCCCUGCCCCAUUCCCUGUGCCCAUGCCAUGUCCCAUGUCCCAUUCCCUGUGCCCCAUUCCCUGUGCCCAUGCCAUGCCCCUUGUCCCAUUCCCUGUGCCCCAUUCCCCGUGCCCCAUUCCCUGUGCCCCAUUCCCCGUGCCCCAUGCCGGGGCCCCAGGCCCAGGUCCUGCGUGGGACUGGGGUGAGCGGCUGGAGAGCGCAGGAGCCGGUGCCACCGGAGCCAGGCCCGCGGGGACGCCCCGGCCGGGUGCCACCGGAGCCAGGCUGGAGCGCCAGGGAGUCCCGCCGCGGGCUGGCACCGUGCCACCCGCUGGAACGAGGGCUGGGAGCAGCCGGACAUCGCCGUGCCUGCCCAGGCGCUCGUGCACCCACGUACCCGCGCACAAGGGUGCCGGGGCACCCGUGCAGCCGUGCACCCGCGUACCCGUGCACGGGUACACCCGUGUGGCUGCACACCCGUGCACCCAUGCACACAGACGCCUGUGCACAGGUACACCCGUGCAACCAUGCACAGGUACGGCUGUGCACAAGUACACCUGUGAAACCAUGCACACGGACACCUGUGCACAGGUACACCCAUGCACAAGUAUGGCUGUGCACAAGUACACCCGUGCAACCAUGCACAAGUAUGGCUGUGCACAUGGACAGCCGUGCACAAGUGCACCCGUGCACCUGGACACCGGUGCACCCAGACACCCGAGCACCCGUGCACCUGGACACUCGUGCAGCCGUGCACCCAUGCACCCGGACACUUGUGCACACAGACACCCGUGCACCCGGACACCCGGACACUCGUGCACGCAGACACUCGUGCACCUGGACACUCGUGCAGCUGUGCACCCGGACACCCGUGCACCCAGACACCUGUGCACCCGGACACCUGUGCACCCGGACACCCGAGCACCCAGACACCUGUGCACCCAGACACCCGUGCACCCGGACACUCGUGCAGCUGUGCACCCGGACACCCCUGCACCCAGACACCCGGACACCCGGACACCUGUGCAGCGCGCGUGGCCCCAGCACCCCCGCGAGCCAGGGCCGGCAGCGGCACGGCGGCAGGGAGCCAGGGAGCCAGGGAAGGGCUUUCCCGUUGCUCCGGCCGCCGCGCGGUGCCGAGCUGCGCCGAGCCGUGCUGCGCUGCGCCGAGCCGAGCUGCGCGCCCUGCCUCCUCCUCCACUUCCUUCCUUCCUGCGCCGCGCUCCCGGGCCAACGCCUGCUCUCCCGGCCCCGCCGCCGGGCGGGUGCUAAAACGGGAACACGGGAACGGCUCCCGGGAGAACCCCGGCGCUGGGAAAGCCGCUGCUGGGAGCGGGGCCGGCCUGGCUUCUCCUGCUCCGUGCUGCUGUGCUGGGCCGUGCCAUGGGGUGCCGUGCCAUGGGGUGCUGUGCCAUGGGGUGCCGUGCCAUGGGGUGCUGUGCCGUGCCAUGCCAUGCCAUGCCGUGGGGUGCAGAGCCCACAGGACCAUGCCGAGGGCACAUGGGGCUGGGACGAGCUGGGGCCGGGGGGGGAAAUAGGGUCUAGAGGCUGCCGGGGAGCAAUGGGGCCGGCGCGGGAGCACUGGGAGCACUGGGAGCAGCACAGGGGGCAGGAGCAGGGAACACGGUGGAGGCCAGUGCAGGGUGCAGGACGCAGGGUGCAAGUUGCAGGACACAGGAUGCAAGAUGCAGGGAGCAGGGUGCAAGGUGCAGGGAGCAGCACGCAGGAUGCAGGGAGCAGGACGCGGGGCGCAGGAUGCAGGGAGCAGGGUGCAAGGUGCAGGGAGCAGGACGCAGGACGCAGGGAGCAGGGUGCAAGGAGCAGGAUGCAGGCCC